UAGAGUUUGAUCAUGGCUCAGAUUGAACGCUGGCGGUAUGCUUAACACAUGCAAGUCGAACGGUAACAGCAGAGCUUGCUCUGGCUGACGAGUGGCGGACGGGUGCGUAACGCGUGGGAAUCUACCUUUUAGUGGGGGAUAGCCCGGAGAAAUCCGGAUUAAUACCGCAUAAGCCAUACGGGGGAAAAGGGGCCUCUUCUUGAAAGCUCUUGCUAUUAGAUGAGCCCGCGUAAGAUUAGCUAGUUGGUGGGGUAAUGGCCUACCAAGGCAACGAUCUUUAGCUGGUCUGAGAGGAUGAUCAGCCACACUGGGACUGAGACACGGCCCAGACUCCUACGGGAGGCAGCAGUGGGGAAUAUUGGACAAUUUGCGGAAGCCUGAUCCAACAAUACCGCGUGUGUGAAGAAGGCCUGAGGGUUGUAAAGCU
rnacentral:rRNA from 1 species